rnacentral:rRNA from 1 species
UACCAGCACCCCGAGUGGUCGGGACGAUUAUUGGGCCUAAAGCAUCCGUAGCCGGUUCUACAAGUCUUCCGUUAAAUCCCCCUGCUUAACAGAUGGGCUGCGGAGGAUACUAUAGAGCUAGGAGGCGGGAGAGGCAAGCGGUACUUAGUGGGUAGGGGUAAAAUCCGUUGAUCCAUUGAAGACCACCAGUGGCGAAGGCGGCUUGCCAGAAUGCGCUCGACGGUGAGGGAUGAAAGCUGGGGGAGCAAACCGG